AGCGAAGCCAAUGAAGGGCUCCAUGCAAGUAAGGGCCAUCAUAAUGGGAAGCUCUGGUUUGGUGCCAUUUAAUUCAAAAUACUGCUCCGCCCGAGCCCUCCAACCCACGGGAUCUACCCAUUAAAGGUGGGAAUAUCCAGUUUCUUUGACAUGAUAUUAUCGUCGGUCAAAGUGAGGGGUGAAGUUGGCAGCGCCGAUUGAACCAGCGAUGCUAAGCGACCAGGUGUGGUUUGAUUGGACACUUCACCUUCCUCAGUAAUCGAUUUCCCUUUGGCUAAAGUAUGCAGAAGACUCCCGAUGGAAGAGAGUUUAGAAUGAAGUUGCUCGUUGUCGGUCUUCAGCUUGGAGAACCCAUCUUCCAAUAGUGUUAAAUUCCUCUCUAUCAAUUCCACACGAGUAUCCAUUCUUGUAUUUGUCAUUCCCCGGCAGGUCGGACCAAAUGAUAGAGAUAUUAGAAUUUAAUGUAAAAAUCCAAAGCACACAGAAGAAAUACAGAUAAUGAGCAGAAUUGAUGUUCUGUAUUGAAGUUCAGUAGAAAAGAAAAAUUCAGGAGACAAUUCUCCCCAAGCAGGAUAUACACCAGCUCCCCAUUACAAGAUAAGUCACUCAAUGCCCUCUCUAUUCCUCUUAUUCCUUUUUUAUAACCCCACCUCAUGCUCCAUGUACUGCUGUAACUAACUUUGAAUAUUCUGAUUUUCUGGUGCCCUUUUUGAUUUCCUCGAAUAUACGAUCCACGUGUUUUUGGCCCUUUCCCUUGGUUGCUCCUUCAUAACAGUGGCAGUCAUUGUUAAAUGGGGAUGACCUAGAGGAAAGUGGAAUUCAAGAGGUUGAUAUGGAUACUGAAGAUGAAAGCUUUGGCGAUAAUCCACCUGGAUUUCUGCAUAGGAAGACUGAGAAAACCAUGCCAGUUCCUUGGUAUGAUGCAUAAGUGUACAUUAAUAUCUUCUGCUUCCACAGAAGUUUGAAUACAAAUUAUAUGAUAUUUUUUAUGUUUAUCAUGGAGAAAAGAAUACAUUUUGCAUAAAUUUAGACCAUGCAAGUCAGUUUUGGGAGUCAUCAAAUAAAAUGACUUGUUAAAAUGAAAUUGACAGUUUUAGAAUAGCACAUGUAGAGAAGCAAAACUAGCUAGCAUCAAAGGGCACAGAGGUGCAAAGGGUACUAGGGCCUAGGCUCAAGGUACAGGCACAUGCUUGAAUAUAUAUAUAUAUCGUAGGAUACUGAAUACCGAAUUCUAAUUAGUAAACUAAACAAUUAUAGAUAUUAAUGUAUUUUAUUUUUACAUUGAA